rnacentral:tRNA from 1 species
GCGCCCGUAGCUCAGCUGGAUAGAGUGUUGGUUUCCGAAGCCAAAGGCCGGAGGUUCGAAUCCUCUCGGGCGCG